ACUCAAAUGAAUAGACGGGGGCCCGCACAAGCAGCGGAGCGUGUGGUUUAAUUCGAGGCUACGCGAAGAACCUUACCUGGGUUUGACAUAGCGCUGAACGAGGCUGAAAGGCUGAGGGUCCUUCGGGACAGCGUUACAGGUGCUGCAUGGCUGUCGUCAGCUCGUGUCGUGAGAUGUUCGGUUAAGUCCGAAAACGAGCGCAACCCCCGGCGUGUGUUACACGUGUCACACGCUACUGCCGGCGGCAAGCCGGAGGAAGGUGGGGAUGAUGUCAAGUCAGCAUGGCCUAUAUAUCCAGGGCUACACACACGCUACAAUGGGCGGUACAGUGGGACGCGAAGUUGUGAGAUGGAGCCAAUCCUAAAAAGCCGUUCGUAGUUCGGAUUGCAGGCUGCAACCCGCCUGCAUGAAGUUGGAGUUGCUAGUAAACGCGCAUCAGCACGGCGCGUUGAAUACGUUCCCGGGCCUUGCACACACCGCCCGU
rnacentral:rRNA from 1 species